GACGAACGCUGGCGGCGUGCUUAACACAUGCAAGUCGAGCGAUGAAGCUCCUUCGGGAGCGGAUUAGCGGCGGACGGGUGAGUAACACGUGGGUAACCUGCCUCAUAGAGGGAAUAGCCUUUCGAAAGGAGAUUAAUACCGCAUAAGAUUGUAGUGCCGCAUGGCAUAGCAAUUAAAGGAGUAAUCCGCUAUGAGAUGGACCCGCGUCGCAUUAGCUAGUUGGUGAGGUAACGGCUCACCAAGGCGACGAUGCGUAGCCGACCUGAGAGGGUGAUCGGCCACAUUGGGACUGAGACACGGCCCAGACUUCCACGGGAGCAG
rnacentral:rRNA from 1 species